GGACUGGGACAACAGAAGGAAACUUCUGCUAAUCCCGGAUGAGCCGCAAGGUGAAAGAUUUAUCGCCUAGAGAUGAGCUCGCGUCUGAUUAGCUAGUUGGUAAGGUAAAAGCUUACCAAGGCAACGAUCAGUAGCUGGUCUGAGAGGAUGAUCAGCCACACUGGGACUGAGACACGGCCCAGACUCCUACGGGAGGCAGCAGUGGGGAAUUUUCCGCAAUGGGCGCAAGCCUGACGGAGCAAGACCGCGUGGGGGAGGAAGGCUCUUGGGUUGUAAACCCCUUUUCUCAGGGAAGAACCAAAUGACGGUACCUGAGGAAUCAGCCUCGGCUAACUCCGUGCCAGCAGCCGCGGUAAUACGGAGGAGGCAAGCGUUAUCCGGAAUGAUUGGGCGUAAAGCGUUCGUAGGUGGCUAUUCAAGUCUGCUGUCAAAGACAGAAGCUCAACUUCUGAAAGGCAGUGGAAACUGAGUAGCUGGAGUGCGGUAGGGGCAGAGGGAAUUCCCGGUGUAGCGGUGAAAUGCGUAGAGAUCGGGAAGAACACCGGUGGCGAAAGCGCUCUGCUGGGCCGCAACUGACACUGAGGG
rnacentral:rRNA from 1 species